AAAUUAUAUUUGUGUAUUGGGAAGAAAAAGAAAAAAACAUUUGGUAACAGUAAACACAAAUUUUGUUUUAAUAUUGAGCUAAAUUAAGCAAUGUUGACCAAUGUGUAUAUUUCCAUGCGUCGUAACUUCCUAUUACGCUCAUUCGUUGAAGAGGAGAACAAUGACAGCCCUGACGCAGAUAAAAGGAUCAUCACGACAUAAGCAAGAAAGCAUUCGCAGAAGUUCCGUAUUUCCAAAGCGGCUUUUUAUUACGUCCUUGUAAAAAUUGGUAUGAGUGGUGGUAUGGGGAUUGCAUAUAUACCGCCGAUGUUGCAUUUACCCAUGACCUUAAAGUUGUUGGCUUCAGAAGAUUACUAAUGGCUGGCCUGCAGUGAGUGACGGUGCAUAUCCUCUAGAACCUUGGCUGAUGACAUCUAACCGAAGCUCGGAAGAUCCCCUAAAAAAGUAUACAUCGAAAUCCAUUGCAAGGCGAGUAACAUUGAGGAAGGUGCAAUGGUAUGUACAAAGGUUAGUAUUUCGAAAAUCUAACUAUAGUUUUCGAACAUUUCUCCUGGUCACUGGCGUAUUCUACAGAGAUGUAAUCAUUCUUUUAACCUGUUCUUUUAAAAAAAUUCAUGAAAACAAUGAGUCUUCAUAUGACAAUAAGUUCUAGCUUUCAAUAUUUUGUAAAGAACAUUGGUGCAACAUAGCAGUUUGACACAUAGGUUUAUUGUGGUCAUGAUUGCAUCAAUCCGAUCAUGAAAUUUAAGAAACUUUUUGCAAUCUGAUAGUGAACGAUCGCAUAAGAUGGCUUGAUCCUUUGAUCGUCAUUUUCGAAACAUGAAGUUACCUUUCUGGAGUAAGGAUGUAACUUCCCGCCGUAUAAAUACUGCUUUACCAAUAGAAGUACCGCCACAAAGUUGUCAAGGUACAAAUUUAGUUUCAUAAUCCCGGAAGCUAAGGGAAAACUAUUUCCUCCAUCAUCCGGAAGUUGUUACAUAGCACUAAGAAGGCUUAGUUCCAUAGGUAACGAUAUUCAAUUUGUAAGUUUUGAAGUGUUGUUUCUCUGGAGAAUACAUUGUAGGUAAUCGUCUGAAUAGGAAACCUCUACAGAUCGACACAUGUUACAAAUAUCACUGCUGCACCAAAGCAAAAUAUAAAUAGCUUCAUCAAAAUAUAAAUAGCUGGAAUGAAGUAUGUUAUUUAGUAAAAAACGUGAUGUUUUUGCUGAAUCGUCAAAAACGACACUUUAUUUUGUUGCUGUGCUACCUCCCUCAUGCACAAAAUGAUAUCAUUGCAUAAUAAAAAAUAAGUAACAAAAUAAAUAACAAGUUUUGCGUUUUGGUGGAGAUCUGACUAGCGACAUGGGAUUCUAUAUACUUGUUCAUAAAGGUUAUGUAUUGUGUUUUGAUUUCUGGAUGCUUGUUCAGCUUCUUUUCGAGACCUUUAAAACGGUGAAGAGCACGCUUACAGAACAUGCACCUUCGUUAUUUUAAAGUUUUGCUCGCAAAUGAUAUUUGGUCGCAAGAUGAGAUUAAUCAAAGUAAUUUUCUAGGGAUAAUGAUUUAACUAGCACCUUUAAGUUUAAUAUUUUUGACGUUAGUUGCUAAUGACAAUGAAUUUAAAGCAGGAAAUCCACCACCAGAGAUCAUACCAAUAAUGUUUCUUGUAAAGUAGGCAGAUUGUUUGCCAAGCGAAUUCGGGCAACACAAAUCAAUUCGAAGAAGAGACCAACGCCGCUCAAAUUUCUAUAACGCCUGGUUUGUGAAAUAAGGGGUUUGCUAAACGCACACUUUUUCUUCCGUUAGACUUGAUACUAGGCUGAUAAUAUGAUAACUGGCGCGAUGAGAGCUAACGUUGAAGAUGAAUAAUUUCCAUA